rnacentral:rRNA from 1 species
UUUAUUUGAGAGUUUGAUCCUGGCUCAGGACGAACGCUGGCGGCGUGCUUAACACAUGCAAGUCGAACGAUGAACCUUCCAUGAUCUAUUCGUAGAGAUUGGAAGCGGAUUAGUGGCGAACGGGUGAGUAACGCGUGAGCAACCUGCCUUAAACAACGGGAUAGCCUCGGGAAACCGGGAUUAAUACCGUAUGAGACCCCGCCUUCCCAUGAAGAAGAGGUUAAAGAUUUAUCGGUUUAAGAUGGGCUCGCGUCUGAUUAGCUAGUUGGAGAGAUAAAAGCCCACCAAGGCAACGAUCAGUAACCGGCUUGAGAGAGUGAACGGUCACAUUGGAACUGAGACACGGUCCAAACUCCUACGGGAGGCAGCAGUGGGGAAUAUUGCACAAUGGGGGAAACCCUGAUGCAGCGACGCCGCGUGAGCGAUGAAGGAAUUCGUUUCGUAAAGCUCUGUCCUAGGGGACGAUAAUGACGG